rnacentral:lncRNA from 1 species
UCAUACAAGUAAAUAAGAAUCCAUAUUCUUCGCCAGGGCAACAUGCCCCAUAUGAUCCAGGCGUCGCCCCUUUUCCGGCCACAUCUUUCACUGUCUGGCUUAUUUCUUAUUUGUCAGGCACAAGGGGCUCCUUUCUGUUCUUCACACAUGACUAAGCGCUGCUAUCCCAGCAACUGUGCUUUCCUUUUUCUUUCUUUUUUUUUGAGACGGAGUCUCACUCUGUCACCAGGCUGGAGUGCAGUGGUGUAAUCUCGGCUCAAUGCAACUCCGCCUCCUGGAUUCAAGUGAUUCUCCUGCCUCCGCCUCCGGAGUAGCUGGGAUUACAGAGAAACAGGAAGAUGAGCGUUAUCAGCAGCAGUGGGUGCUCAGGAAGCCGUGGCCCUCUCUGCCUGUAAGCAUCAUCGGUAGCUUGUUUCUCCUUGGUCCUGCAGUACAGUCACCCACGGACCCUUUCAUUGUGCCUGGCUCUCCUCCUGCUCAGUGUCUGCCAACAUAUCCUACUUCGCUGCCACGGCAAGAAAAAGUCAUCAAAUUAGGAGGAAGCGCCGGACUGAACUGGCAGCCCGGAGUCGCGGCUGUGUUCUCAGACCAACUGCCGCCCUUCCGUGUGACUUUCGGCAAGCCUCUUCUCACUCGUGUUCUCACUUCAGGUUGUGCACGGCGUGCUUGUGCUGGAGUGGAAGCUUCCGGGCGUGCCCUCAAGUUUACUGAGGGACUGUCAGUCACCCUAUUAGUUGAUUUCAGUAAUUCUGAUGACAAAUAUAGAUGUAUAUAACAUAAAACAUAUAUGUAUAUGAAUGUGUUUUUAUAAAGAUAUAUAUAAUAGAUUUAUGUGGCUAUAAGAUUUAUUCUCAUAAGCCUUAUAAGGCAAUGAACAAUUACUUAUAGGCGGCACUUUGUUGUACACACAAUAUUAUUGUAUUGUACACACAAUAAAAAUCGUG